AUACGGAGGGGGCUAGCGUUGUUCGGAAUUACUGGGCGUAAAGCGCACGUAGGCGGCGCACGCAGUCAGAGGUGAAAGGCCUGGGCUCAACCCAGGAACUGCCUUUGAUACUGGUGUGCUAGAGUCCGGGAGAGGGUAGCGGAAUUCCCAGUGUAGAGGUGAAAUUCGUAGAUAUUGGGAAGAACACCGGUUGCGAAGGCGGCUACCUGGACCGGUACUGACGCUGAGGUGCGAAAGCGUGGGGAGCAAACAGGAUUAGAAACCCCGGUAGUCC
rnacentral:rRNA from 1 species